GUUGCGGAGAGGCAGAGGCUCCUGUUAAAACAAGCGCAGCUGAGGAAACCUGCUGUUUUCCUCUUCAGAUGCUCACUGGUACUCACCUUUGGUGCAGUCCUGACUGAUCAUGAAUCUGAGGCACCCUGUUACCAAAAAGGAUGCUAAACGUUUUCUGCCCAUACUUACUGAGAAGGAC